CCAGUUUCCAUGGCAGCCGCUUAUCCAAUCCGAUUGGUUUCCUUUCUCUUCCACCCUGGGCUCCACCCAAUCCCCUUCAACAGUCUACCAACGUGCAUGGGGAGGGGCAGCAGAGAGAAGGAGGCCUUCGCGUCACUCUAGCGCGCGACAGGAGUCGAAGGACUGGAGGGCGGAACUGUAAGAGGAAAGGGCGACGUUUCCGGUGGGGAAGAGUGAAGGAGUGGAAAAAGGAAGCGAGAAACCGGGUGGAGUGGAAAGACGGGGGAAGACUUUAAGUGUAACUCCCGGUUGAUUUGGGCUCGAUGUUCCCGGUGAGGCUGGGGUUGCCCCCUUGCACGGAAGAGGGCUGGAUCGUCAGGAAGGCACCAGGUGACACCAGCAGGCCCCUCAGCAGCCGCAGAGGCGCCACAAAGUUUGCCGAUCCCAAGAGGGAGCGAUACAGAGAGGCGGAAAUCACCCGGAGGGACCGGCGCUGCUGAAAUCUCGCGAGAGGACCCCCCCCCCCGACUUCCUUCGUCUACUUCUCCCUCCUCUUUCCCCCGCCCCUUUCCCUUCUCCCUCCGCCUCCCUCCUCCCGGGUCGAAGUGUCCCUGCGCCCCACGGGCCAGAGCAGUAGCUAGAGCAGCUUUCCCCGCUCCCUCCCCCUCGCCUCACUCACCGCCCCCCCACCUCCGAGCGAGGAGGAGCCGGAGGAGAGGAAGAUGGCGGCGGCCGCCAGCACCCGCGGGGCCGCGGGGCCGCUCCGAGGAGCCUGAGAGACCCACGGAGGCUUCGCGGGAAGACGCGGCGGCGGAGGAUGAGCCUGCAGAGCGCGCAGUAUCUCCGAAUGUCUUAAACCAUUCUACCUUAUGAGAAAUUGGAUGUUCUUGCAGAUAGUCAUUGUGGGAGAAAACGUUUCAUUUAAGUCCCAGAUGAGGACCGAAAACUUGAAAUCAGAGGAGCAUCUGAAAUCAAGUAAUAUUAGGUAGGAUAAAAAUUACAAGGGAUUUCUACAUGGUUUAUUCAUUUUAGAGAUGUAUGUUAAAGUAUUCAUAUUAAUAGAAAAAUUAAAGACUUUCUGGAGAAUUUGAUUCUGGCCAAGAUGGGGGAGGGGCAUGCUAAAGUUUUGUUUUUUGGGGUUUUUUUUUUUUUUUU
rnacentral:lncRNA from 1 species